GAUGAAUGCUGGCGGCGUGCCUAACACAUGCAAGUCGAGCGGUAACAGGUCUAGUUUACUAGAUGCUGACGAGCGGCGGACGGCUGAGUAACGCGUGGGAACAUGCCCCAAAGUGAGGGAUAACCGCUCGAAAGAGUGGCUAAUACCGCAUAUGGUCUUCGGAUUAAAGGAUUUAUCCGCUUUGGGAGUGGCCUGCGUACGAUUAGAUAGUUGGUGAGGUAAAGGCUCACCAAGUCGACGAUCGUUAACUGUUCUGAGAGGAUGAUCAGUCAGACUGGAACUGAGACACGGACCAGACUCCUACGGGAGGCAGCAGUGAGGAAUAUUGGUCAAUGGACGCAAGUCUGAACCAGCCAUGCCGCGUGCAGGAUGACGGUCCUAUGGAUUGUAAACUGCUUUUGUAUGAGAAGAAACCUCUCUACGUGUAGAGAGCUGACGGUAUCAUAAGAAUAAGGAUCGGCUAACUCCGUGCCAGCAGCCGCGGUAAUACGGAGGAUCCAAGCGUUAUCCGGAAUCAUUGGGUUUAAAGGGUCCGUAGGCGGUUUUGUAAGUCAGUGGUGAAAUCCCGCAGCUCAACUGUGGAAUUGCCAUUGAUACUGCAGAACUUGAAUUACUAGGAAGUAACUAGAAUAUGUAGUGUAGCGGUGAAAUGCUUAGAGAUUACAUGGAAUACCAAUUGCGAAGGCAGGUUACUACUAGUAUAUUGACGCUGAUGGACGAAAGCGUGGGUAGCGAACAGGAUUAGAUACCCUGGUAGUCCACGCCGUAAACGAUGGAUACUAGCUGUUCGGUUGUAAGACUGAGUGGCUAAGCGAAAGUGAUAAGUAUCCCACCUGGGGAGUACGAACGCAAGUUUGAAACUCAAAGGAAUUGACGGGGGCCCGCACAAGCGGUGGAGCAUGUGGUUUAAUUCGAUGAUACGCGAGGAACCUUACCAAGGCUUAAAUGUAGUCUGACGUAUUUGGAAACAGAUAUUUCUUCGGACAGAUUACAAGGUGCUGCAUGGUUGUCGUCAGCUCGUGCCGUGAGGUGUCAGGUUAAGUCCUAUAACGAGCGCAACCCCUGUUGUUAGUUGCCAGCGAGUCAAGUCGGGAACUCUAGCAAGACUGCCGGUGCAAACCGUGAGGAAGGUGGGGAUGACGUCAAAUCAUCACGGCCCUUACGCCUUGGGCUACACACGUGCUACAAUGGGGAGGACAAAGAGCUGCUACCUGGUGACAGGAUGCUAAUCUCAAAAACCUUCUCUCAGUUCGGAUCGCAGUCUGCAACUCGACUGCGUGAAGCUGGAAUCGCUAGUAAUCGUAUAUCAGCAAUGAUACGGUGAAUACGUUCCCGGACCUUGUACACACCGC
rnacentral:rRNA from 1 species